ensembl:snRNA U6 U6 spliceosomal RNA
GUGUUCACUUUAGCAGCACAAAUAUUAACACUGAAAUACAAAGAAGAUUACAAUGGCCCCUGUGCAAGGAUCACAUAAAUUCAUGAAGUUGUCCACAAUUUU